rnacentral:rRNA from 1 species
AAGCUGGAUUCGCUAGUAAUCGCGCAUCAGCCAUGGCGCGGUGAAUACGUUCCCGGGCCUUGUACACACCGCCCGUCAAGCCAUGGAAGCCGGGGGUGCCUGAAGUGUGCAGCCGCAAGGAGCGCCCUAAGGUAAAACCGGUGACUGGGGCUAAGUCGUAACAAGGUACC